rnacentral:lncRNA from 1 species
UCUGUGUCUUACAAAAAUGAUACCGUUUCAGAACUGACAUAAGGGAAAGUUUCACUGUCCUCCAUACACCAGCCAUGUCACCUUAUUUUGGUAGAUUUUGUUUGUUUUUUUUAGGUUUACCUUUAAUUUUAAUUUUUUUUUUUUUUUUUUUUUUUAGGUUUACCUUAUUUUGGUAGAUUUUAGGUUACUGACUCUCCAGACAGGUAAUCUGAUAAAAGAGUGAAAUUACAAACAGUGCUAUUAACUCAAAUGAAACAAGAUGUUGGCUUAGAUUACAACAAGAAAUCAGUGAAAUGCAUGAAAGCAUGCUUUACAUAGUGAAAGCUAUGAGUUUUCUGUUACCAUGAUCGCAUUCACCCUCAUCUCACCCACAGGUGAUGCGGAGUUAAUAGCGCACCGAUGAACGCGUGGGAGAGACUCCUAUCUCAUUACAUUCGACAACUUCAUCCGGUACGAGAGGCAUUUCUUGUUUGAGACUGCUGUUAUUUCAACUUCUUGAGAAGCAGGCAUGGAUACAGCGCGGGCAGCUAGGACGCAUAUUAUCUGGACAUCGAUAGCUUUGGUCUUUAUUUUAAUCGCAUCGUGCUUGGCAUAUGUUUUCAUGUCGAAGGUGCCUGGAUGCCAAAGAAUAAACAUCGUGAAUGGUAAGUUAUACCUAAAUAUUAACUCAUAAUUACAGUACUUAUUGUGU